rnacentral:rRNA from 1 species
AGAGUUUAAUCAUGGCUCAGGACGAACGGCUGGCGGCGUGCUUAACGCAUGCAAGUCGAACGGUGACCCAGGGCUUGCCCUGGUGAUCAGUGGCGAACGGGUGAGUAACACGUGGGCAACCUGCCCCUGACUUCGGGAUAACUCCUCGAAAGAGGAGCUAAUACCGGAUACGACCACUUCGGACAUCCGAUGGUGGUGGAAAGUUUUUCGGUCAGGGAUGGGCCCGCGGCCUAUCAGCUAGUUGGUGGGGUAAUGGCCUACCAAGGCGACGACGGGUAGCCGGCCUGAGAGGGCGACCGGCCACACUGGGACUGAGACACGGCCCAGACUCCUACGGGAGGCAGCAGUGGGGAAUAUUGCGCAAUGGGCGAAAGCCUGACGCAGCGACGCCGCGUGAGGGAUGAAGGCCUUCGGGUUGUAAACCUCUUUCAGCAGGGACGAAGCGAAAGUGACGGUACCUGCAGAAGAAGCACCGGCUAACUACGUG